UCAAACUUGGUCAUUUAGAGGAAGUAAAAGUCGUAACAAGGUUUCCGUAGGUGAACCUGCGGAAGGAUCAUUACCUAGAGUUGCGGGCUUUGCCUGCCAUCUCUUACCCAUGUCUUUUGAGUACCUUCGUUUCCUCGGCGGGUUCGCCCGCCGGUUGGACAACACUUAAACCCUUUGUAAUUGAAAUCAGCGUCUGAAAAAACUUUAAUAGUUACAACUUUCAACAACGGAUCUCUUGGUUCUGGCAUCGAUGAAGAACGCAGC
rnacentral:misc_RNA from 1 species